rnacentral:sRNA from 1 species
ACUUUUGCCUCUCAUCUAUAGCCGGGUAGAGGGAUAUAGUGCGAGGAUUUUCGCGGGGUUCAACGAACGAAAGAGGUGUCUUUCGGAACUACUCGCCGAGGAAAAAUUUAUAUACCAAUCAUUUAUUUAUGAUCGUAGGUUUUCCCUCGUCAGACUCUUAUUAGCUGCGUCGGUCUGGUUCAGACCAGAAGUCUCGAUCUAUCACUGUUCCGGGAGCAAACGAAAAAAUUGGGUUUUCCGCAAAAAAAAAAAAAAAAUCAUUGGAAACGAUUUUGAGAACUGAACAGUUGCAAUACUAACGUGAAUUUAACUGAAAUAAGCCAGGAUGAGGGCUUCCACCGAUAUGAUCAUUGGGCUGUCCACGGGAUUCGCCUCGUUUCUGGUCUUUGGAAUCCUCGUGUGCGUGGUGUGGAGAUGCUUUUGUCACAAAUCGGAUAAAGAAGAGGAAGAUACCAAGACCAAACCAAAAGGCAGACAGCAGCGUCCAUAGCAACCAAUAGGGAAGAACAACAAAAGCACUUUGUUUCUACUGUCUAAUUACUGGAUUACUAGACGAUUACUUUAAAAAGUCUUUUGAAAUAUAUAUACUUACCACAAAUGUAAUUAGUGGAUGUCAUUAUUGAAUUGACACCUAGGAGCAAAAGCAUGAAUUAUUGAAAACAGCUUACAGUGCUAUGAUGAUUUGUUUUUUCCUCUUUGCAUUCAGAUAUUCUAUUGAUCUUGAGCAAAAUGAGAAACGGUUUAAAGUUUUCAACAGACACAGCCUUUGUUUUUAUAGGUUGUAAAAUAACGCUGACAAAAAUGUUCUUAACGAAAUCCGGAGCUCUUUUCAUAUACUCAUAGAUAAAAAAUAAUCUUAAACAAAAUUGUCAUCUGCAGUAUUAUUGAUCUUGCAAACAGUUUAUUUGAAAAGUGUUUUAUACGAACGUUUCGGUUUAUUUUCUGUCCUAAGCGUUCCUUUUCUUGUCAAUCUACUUCUUGUUAUUAUAUUGCUUGUCCACCCAUCAGUUUCUGGGUAACUGAACUUUGAAUAAUUUUGUUGAAUUUAUAUUCCAGAGCAUUUAUAUUUCCAUGCACAUUAAAGUAUGGAAC